rnacentral:misc_RNA from 1 species
GGGCCGCACCUUCAUCCAGCCGUCGCAGACCAUCCGUCAGCUCGGCAUCCGGCUCAAGCUCAACCCGCUCAAGGAAGUCAUCCGAGGUAAGCGCCUGGUCGUCGUCGACGACUCGAUCGUCCGCGGCAACACCCAGCGCGCGCUGAUCCGGAUGCUCCGCGAGGCCGGUGCACUCGAGAUCCACGUCCGCAUCGCGUCGCCGCCGGUCAAGUGGCCGUGCUUCUACGGCAUCGACUUCGCGUCGCCCGCCGAACUCAUCGCGAACGGUGCCGAGGGCAGCGGCGUCAACGCCACCUUCGACGAGAUGCUCGAGGGUGUGCGCCGGUCGAUCGGCGCCGAUUCGCUCGGCUACAUCUCGAUCGACGGCAUGGUCGCGGCCACCGAGCAGCCCCGGUCGCGU